rnacentral:rRNA from 1 species
GACGAACGCUGGCGGCGUGCCUAAUACAUGCAAGUUGAGCGAUGAAGAUUGGUGCUUGCACCAAUUUGAAGAGCAGCGAACGGGUGAGUAACGCGUGGGGAAUCUGCCUUUGAGCGGGGGACAACAUUUGGAAACGAAUGCUAAUACCGCAUAACAACUUUAAACAUAAGUUUUAAGUUUGAAAGAUGCAAUUGCAUCACUCAAAGAUGAUCCCGCGUUGUAUUAGCUAGUUGGUGUGGUAAAGGCUCACCAAGGCGAUGAUACAUAGCCGACCUGAGAGGGUAAUCGGCCACAUUGGGACUGAGACACGGCCCAAACUCCUACGGGAGGCAGCAGUAGGGAAUCUUCGGCAAUGGACGAAAGUCUGACCGAGCAACGCCGCGUGAGUGAAGAAGGUUUUCGGAUCGUAAAACUCUGUUGGUAGAGAAGAACGUUGGUGAGAGUGGAAAGCUCAUCAAGUGACGGUAACUACCCAGAAAGGGACGGCUAACUACGUG